rnacentral:pre_miRNA from 3 species
UGAGGUAGUAGAUUGAAUAGUUGUGGAGUCCUACCCUCCCUUUGAGCUAACUAUACAAUCUACUGUCUUUC